GGUUAAGCGAAUAAGCGUACACGGUGGAUGCCUAGGCAAUCAGAGGCGAUGAAGGACGUGCUAAUCUGCGAAAAGCGUCGGUAAGGUGAUAUGAACCGUUAUACCCGACGAUAUCCGAAUGGGGAAACCCAGUAUCCAAUGGAUACUAUCAUUAACUGAAUCCAUAGGUUAAUGAGGCGAACCGGGAGAACUGAAACAUCUCAGUACCCCGAGGAAAAGAAAUCAACCGAGAUUCCCCUAGUAGCGGCGAGCGAACGGGGAGCAGCCCAGAGUCUUAAUCAAUAGCAGUGUCAGGAGAACGGUCUGGAAAGUCCGGCAGUAAAGGGUGAUAGCCCCGUAUCUGAAGAUGCUGUUAUUGUGAACUCGACGAGUAGGGCGGGACACGUGUUAUCCUGUCUGAAUAUGGGGGGACCAUCCUCCAAGGCUAAAUACUCCUGAUUGACCGAUAGUGAACCAGUACCGUGAGGGAAAGGCGAAAAGAACCCCGGCGAGGGGAGUGAAAAAGAACCUGAAACCGUGUACGUACAAGCAGUAGGAGCCUCUUUAUGGGGUGACUGCGUACCUUUUGUAUAAUGGGUCAGCGACUUAUAUUCUGUAGCAAGGUUAACCGUAUAGGGGAGCCGUAGGGAAACCGAGUCUUAACUGGGCGAAUGAGUUGCAGGGUAUAGACCCGAAACCCGGUGAUCUAUCCAUGGGCAGGUUGAAGGUUGGGUAACACUAACUGGAGGACCGAACCGACUAAUGUUGAAAAAUUAGCGGAUGACUUGUGGAUGGGGGUGAAAGGCCAAUCAAACCGGGAGAUAGCUGGUUCUCCCCGAAAGCUAUUUAGGUAGCGCCUCGUGAAUUCAUCUUCGGGGGUAGAGCACUGUUUCGACUAGGGGGUCAUCCCGACUUACCAACUCGAUGCAAACUGCGAAUACCGAAGAAUGUUAUCACGGGAGACACACGGCGGGUGCUAACGUCCGUCGUGAAGAGGGAAACAACCCAGACCGCCAGCUAAGGUCCCAAAGUCAUGGUUAAGUGGGAAACGAAGUGGGAAGGCUCAGACAGCCAGGAUGUUGGCUUAGAAGCAGCCAUCAUUUAAAGAAAGCGUAAUAGCUCACUGGUCGAGUCGGCCCGCGCGGAAGAUGUAACGGGGCUAAACCAUGCACCGAAGCUGCGGCAGCGACACAAAGUGUUGUUGGGUAGGGGAGCGUUCUGUAAGCCUGCGAAGGUGUACUGUGAGGUAUGCUGGAGGUAUCAGAAGUGCGAAUGCUGACAUAAGUAACGAUAAUGCGGGUGAAAAACCCGCACGCCGGAAGACCAAGGGUUCCUGUCCAACGUUAAUCGGGGCAGGGUGAGUCGACCCCUAAGGCGAGGCUGAAAAGCGUAGUCGAUGGGAAACGGGUUAAUAUUCCCGUACUGGUGGUAACUGCGAUGGGGGAACGGAGAAGGCUAGGUUGUCCGGGCGACGGUCGUCCCGGUUCAAGCAGGUAGGCAGAGUGAUUAGGCAAAUCCGGUCACUUAAUGCUGAGAUGUGAUGACGAACCACCAAGGUGGUGAAGCAAUUGAUGCCCCGCUUCCAGGAAAAGCCUCUAAGCUUCAGGUUACCAACAAUCGUACCCCAAACCGACACAGGUGGUCAGGUAGAGAAUACUCAGGCGCUUGAGAGAACUCGGGUGAAGGAACUAGGCAAAAUGGUGCCGUAACUUCGGGAGAAGGCACGCUGGCGGUAGGUAAAGUCCCUCGCGGACAGAGCUGAAGCCAGUCGAAGAUACCAGCUGGCUGCAACUGUUUAUUAAAAACACAGCACUGUGCAAACACGAAAGUGGACGUAUACGGUGUGACGCCUGCCCGGUGCUGGAAGGUUAAUUGAUGGGGUUAGCGCAAGCGAAGCUCCUGAUCGAAGCCCCAGUAAACGGCGGCCGUAACUAUAACGGUCCUAAGGUAGCGAAAUUCCUUGUCGGGUAAGUUCCGACCUGCACGAAUGGCGUAAUGAUGGCCAGGCUGUCUCCACCCGAGACUCAGUGAAAUUGAACUCGCUGUGAAGAUGCAGUGUACCCGCGGCAAGACGGAAAGACCCCGUGAACCUUUACUAUAGCUUGACACUGAACAUUGAGCCUUGAUGUGUAGGAUAGGUGGGAGGCUUUGAAGUGUGGACGCCAGUCUGCAUGGAGCCAACCUUGAAAUACCACCCUUUAACGUUUGAUGUUCUAACCUAGGCCCAUAAACUGGGUCGGGGACCGUGUCUGGUGGGUAGUUUGACUGGGGCGGUCUCCUCCUAAAGAGUAACGGAGGAGCACGAAGGUUGGCUAAGCAUGGUCGGACAUCAUGCGGUUAGUGCAAAGGCAUAAGCCAGCUUGACUGCGAGAGUGACGGCUCGAGCAGGUACGAAAGUAGGUCUUAGUGAUCCGGUGGUUCUGAAUGGAAGGGCCAUCGCUCAACGGAUAAAAGGUACUCCGGGGAUAACAGGCUGAUACCGCCCAAGAGUUCAUAUCGACGGCGGUGUUUGGCACCUCGAUGUCGGCUCAUCACAUCCUGGGGCUGAAGUAGGUCCCAAGGGUAUGGCUGUUCGCCAUUUAAAGUGGUACGCGAGCUGGGUUUAGAACGUCGUGAGACAGUUCGGUCCCUAUCUGCCGUGGGCGUUGGAAGAUUGAGAGGGGUUGCUCCUAGUACGAGAGGACCGGAGUGAACGCACCACUGGUGUUCGGGUUGUCAUGCCAAUGGCAUUGCCCGGUAGCUAAGUGCGGAAGAGAUAACCGCUGAAAGCAUCUAAGCGGGAAACUUGCCUCGAGAUGAGUCUUCCCUGUCGCUUUAAGCGACCUAAAGGAACGUUUAAGACUAAGACGUUGAUAGGCUGGGUGUGUAAGCGUAGCGAUACGUUGAGCUAACCAGUACUAAUGAACCGUGAGGCUUAACCUG
rnacentral:rRNA from 1 species